GCCUCUACUCCAAGCAGAACAACCCUGGGAGGUGACAUUUUUCUGGGCUAGCAGGCCAGCUGGGGUCACAGCCCAGUGGCCCAGUUCAGAGCUGAGAUGUGAGCAUAGCGGCGCUCCUGACCUGCAGCUGUCCCCGUUUAGACCACGCACACUGAAGCACUUAGCAUCACAUGGCCAGGAAGCAAAGGAAGAUCUACUUUAGAAAGAUCUAUUUCGAGAGCCCUUGGACACGCAGGUGGCCUCAUUGCUUGAGCAGUGCUGUGUGUGCUCAGCAGCAAAACACAGGGGUGCAGGGCAGGAGCUGACGGGGCUGCAGAGCUGCUGACAGCCAGGCACAAGUAAGGUAGCAGUGCUGAGAAAGUCAGCGGGCAGGUACAGGAGGCAAAAACAGAGCCUAAAAAACACAGUUUACCUGCAACUUCAUUACUACUUGCUCUGGAUCAUGUUUUUCCAUGAAAGUUUCUAUUACAGGAAGGAAAAAAAAAAAAAAGACUUCUUGCUUUUUGUCUUGACCUUACCCUUCCACUGUAUUCCACACUCUUUGCUCAGUCAGUUUCAGCCUUAAAUCUGGAGACAGGAUGUGAGUGAGUCACAUUAAAUGAAGACUGUUCUCUAUAUUUUCUGACUCACUGCAGACUCGAGUUUCCAAAUCCUAAGUUCUUUCUGCACCGUCAGCCAUCUUAGGUAAUGUAGCAAAUUCCUUAGCUACAGCAUUAUAACUUGCUCAUUUUCUGCGGAAGCUUAGGAGGUACCAAAGACUGACUGGGGGACUUCUUUCCAACUUUUAUAUUUGUCACUGUGUCCAGAUGAGCUGAACGAUUUCUUCUUUCUAAAUUCAAUGGCAAAUUAAUAGUAUAUGAAACAUAACACCUGUGAAGAUCUUGGCCUGUUCUGACAAUAAUAAUAAUAUGGGCACACAUAUAUACACAGACACAUUGACUAAGACCAGGACUUCCAUCCACACACAAAGGAGAGUCAAAGCAACCCUGAAGAAGGGCAUUAGGAAUGAUUUCAACCUAUUUCCACUGGCUCAAAAAUAUCUGUGACCAGUUGCCAGUCAGACAGCUGCUGUGCAGUUUUCUGGGUUCCAGCACCAAACAGGAACUAUGUCCAUCCCAAAGUAUCUGAAGGACAUCCCAAUGAGUCCCUUGUCUCAUCGGCAGAUGGACAGUGGAAAGAUGACGAUUUUGGUGCUCCUUGUAUAUGUUGUACAGCCCCCUGCUGCCAUCACACUGUGGGAAUUUGUGUGUGCAUCUCAUUACACAUGAACGAGAUCACAAGGGCAAUUUCCUGUGAUGUGAUUCUUCAGCAUCUGCCAUCAAGGCAAAAACACCUUUGCAGCUCUGAACAGCACGGCAGCUAUCGGCCCUGGUAGCAACAGCCUCUCUUUUGCUCACAGCUGCCCUGAAGACCUUUCACACUGUGCUGAAGGAUGAAGCCUGAUGAUAUCAGGUAAAACUAUAAAAUAAGUAACCAAACCUCUGCCAAACUUUUCAGCAGAAAUAUCCAGCUUCCACGCUCACUCAGUAAUCCCAACCCAUCCACCACAUCUGUACAGAUACCCCGUGUCCAAAGCAUUCCUCUGCAGAGCUUUGCAAUUUAUAUCUCCUGCUGUCAUUUUGCAGCAAACUAGCAACUGAUAUGGGAGUAAUGAGCGAUAAUAAGCUUGACAAUGCAAAGAAUUGCCCUGUCAAUGCAAUUACUCAACAUCAAGUCAAGCUGAACCAAACCUACCAGUGCUAAUUUAUCUGAACCUUCACAGACCAUCUCCUUUCCUGGGCCAGAGCAUCUCAGAAAUUUUUCUGCAGAUCACAGACCGCGAAGCAUCCACAGCUCUAUACAUGAGGAUGUAUACAACUGCAUACAUUCCUUAAACAUAUACGGAUAGUUUUCAUGCUAUGGAAACACAUGUAAAAGUGCAAAUCAUAUUUUAUCAAACAAAAGCACUAUGCCUCCUUAAAUAUGUACUACUUAUCCCUAGACUUUCAGAGUCUGUACUAUAAAUCAGAAGUAAAUUAACUCACUCAACCAUAUCCAAUCACCUCUUCUAGCCUUACUGCUCACUCUUUAUGACAUUACAGAUGUUUUCGACUUUGUUUCACUACCCAAUUGUUUUACCUCUAACUGAGCCUUGGAUGAAGUCAUAGGACUCAGUUUGUGUAACCCAAUGUCGCUUCACUGGAGCUCAGGGAGUUAUGUGUUCUUAUAACAGCAAUGAAUUUAAUUCACGCUCAGAGGAACAACAUAGUUGCAGCACACUGCUCAACAUGAAUUAUGAGGACAGCUUUGAGCGCUCAGGUAAAUGGAUAUCAUAAAUUUAGCCCUGGUAUAAAUCUAGGAAUUCAUACUGGGAAUGGAUGCAACUGAGUUGUCUUGCUGCUCACGUGCUCUCUGGUUUAAAGGCUACACAUUAUUCAUGGCUGAUGUAAGCAGCUGAAAGUCUGCUAAACUCCCUGGAAUUGCACUCAGCUAUGCUAGCCAUGAACGUGUCCCUGUGGCAUUAUCCAAUACACAGCUAAAUCAGCAGUGCCAAAUGGUGACACAAAACCGAGACACGCAGAAUGAGAUUUUUCAGAGCUUGUUUCAAAGAUAAUGGAAAAUCUGAAGCCUGUACCCGAAUAUGAAGGACUAUAUCACAACUUCCUUGGAGAGGGAUGACAGCAGUGGCAGAAGUGAUUAUCCCACAUCUGAAGGAAUUAGCUGAAAUCGGUGAAACUAAUUCUGGGGGAAAGUGUUAUGCAGAAGAACAAGGGCCAGAACUGAGCCCAGAGUAACAUCCUGUUCAAAGCCAGGAGGAGGAACUGAGGCUCCUCAUCUGUUUGUGACAUGAUCCCCUCGCAGCACUGCUGUAAGUCAAGAAACAAGAACCCCUUAUGUCAUUGCUCUUCCCCCCAGCUUUCAAUACUCCACAUAAUUAGAGCUUUUUAACAUGCAGCUCAUGUGAGAACUUUGAAUGUAAUAACAAAAUGCCUAAUCUGGUUACCUGAGCCAUCGGAAAGAACACGCAUUCUUGCAUAUCAAUGAUGCAUUAAUACAUCAGAAGCUUUUCAGAGUUAUUAAAACGGACCUAAAACCACAAGCAAUUUCCAAGCUAAUAUUCCAGAUGCACCACGAGAUCUAAUUCAAGAAGUCCUGCCACAGAACAGUUUAUCUCAUUUUACUUCUCAUGAGACCAAUAAUUAUGAACUGAUGUACACAAAGGCUGUCUCAGGUGUAGCAAUCCCCAGAGGAGCAUCACCACAAACUGAACAAAUGUAUUUCAUCCUGAGAUUCUAGCAAACAAACUGAACAGAAAUAUGCAGCAAACAAAAUCCAAGCAGUUACAAACUCAAGAAAACAUAGUGAAAUAUACAUGGCAAGUAUCCAUGGCUGAGAAACAACUGCUUUCCUCAGAAGGUCUCCUGAUGAUGCUUCGAAGCCUGGAGAGGAUUAUGCAGCUGAAUGCGCCCAUUUUGCACUUUCCAUCUGCAAAGGUUUUUAACUAAUGAACCUUCACAAGGCCCCAGUGAGACAGGUAAGUAUUUUAAGCCACCUCACAGAAAGCUAAGUUGGCUACCGUUUUGGUAAAGCUGAUGCCAGAGCAGAUAUUGGAAAGCUGUAGUCCCAAAGGCACUGUGAUACUUAUGAGAACUUUUCUUCCCUGCACUGUACUUUAUUCUUUCUACCCUCCUCCUUUGGGUUCAGCAAGGGAACACAGUGAUACUACGGCUGAUUUUUGUCACCCUAUGAAAUCCACAGAGCUGACUCACUCCACCAGAACAUUUAGCACUGCAAGAGCUAUCGUGAUGAGCAGGAAGUGGCUGACUUUAAGGCACUGAGCAUAAAGCAUGAAAGGAUGUUGCACUCUGAGCUGCAGAAAAUGCCUCCCUUCACUUGAGAUUGCAAGUCAUUUAUCUUCUACUGGAGUACCCCUUCCUGGUGAACAGAGCUAGCAGGGGAGCCUGCUCAUGCUGUGUUAAAACCAUGUUUGUUGGAGAAUUCAGCCAGGAUGUAGACUUGUCCUUCUCCUCCCCCUAGGGAAGAUAUACACAGGGUUUAAAGCUCUCUCUUGUUUCCAAACCCUUUCUUGUUCCCUCCUAUAGGAAGGGGAAGGCACAAAACCUUCGUAUGUGGCUUGGAACAGUGUAAGGAGAUUGCAAGCCAGCAGGCAGCAAAACACGUGGCUAUUCACUUGGGCAGUCUAUCCUGAUGGAUGUAAUGAGACUAUUUGCAAACAUAAAUAUAAGGUUGUGUGGAAGUACAGGGUUGGAGCUGUGUGAUGAGCCUUUAACUUUAUUCUUUCUUAAUAUUCAAAUGGUUACUUUGCAAGCUAUGCUGAACAUCCCAUUAUCAGUGCUUAUGGAUGCUGUUUCCCUGCACUGAUUUGUUAAUUAAAUAUGAAAUUAUAACAGGCAAUGCAUCACUGCUGAUCAAUUAAUGUCUCAAGUCCUCUGUGAAACUCUGUCAGUUCAGAGUUCGUGCCACCAAGAAAUGUUCUUUUCUUGGCUAUCCUACUUUCUGAGAAUGCUUUAUAAAAUAAAUGUGAAAGCAGGUGAUACUGCAUAGCUUCUGUCUUCAACAUCAUCCUUGUGUUAACAGUUCCACCUUGUGCAGCUCACAGAGGUGGUAGUCACUAAAAUUGCAAUUAUAACAUCUAAAGUGGUGGGAUUAUUUUAAGUGAUAAUUGAGAUUCAUUUCCUACUCAGAUUUUGUCAUAACAACUCUGUCUUCUUUCCCUUCGUUAUGGAGAAAAGACUGGUGAAGCCACAUAAAAAGACACUCUUUCUUACAGACAUUUAUUUAGUUAACAUUAUUGACAUUUAAAGAUUCAAAUGGCAUUAAGAAGUAUUUCUGCAUAGCAGAACUCUAUCAAUUGCCUAUCUGAGAAAUGCAUUACAAGUCUGAACUAAUCCUGCAUUUUCUGUAACAUCAGCCAUCGUAUGCAUCUCACUGCAAGAUCUGAGUGUAAAAAGAGAGACUGGACUUCAAAGAAGAACAUUUACCCCAGUUAUGUUCUUUGCACUGUAUCGUUAUUCUUUCCUCAAGAAACAAAGAGAUGCUGUCACACUACAUAGCUAGCUGCUGUGGCCAUAACUACUUUCUCUCACUUUUCUGUACCACAGCUCUAUGUAUGUCUUCAGAACACGUAUUUUGUUGCCAGUUUUAAGUUAAAAAUUGGUCUGUUCCCUGAGGCUGGAAACUGAAACCUGCUUUUAGGGGACUCCUGUUCCACUGCAGAGUUUGUAAUGGAAGAUGACACUGACUGUCCAGGGACUCUCUUUUUUCAUCUUCUUGGUACAGUGCUGGGGGAUCAACCACAACACAGCAUGGCCCCACUCUGCACUCCCGCCCCUCCUGAGACCUGGUUCCUGCCUCUCUUUCCCCCCACAGCUGAGUGUUCCUAGCCUCAGCACAGCGAGUCCUUCCCCAGAAUGCUUAAUGCUGCUGUGGAAACUGGUGACAUUGUGAGAAACUGACAUGAGAGGUUCAGAUGAUACUGCCCGUCAUAAUGAAAGGGUCUCACCCAAUAAGUCACAGAGCCUAAGCAAAACAAAAGAAAAAAUGACCACACAACAUAGCCUCUGAAAACUACACAUUUCUAUUUUUUUUUUUCUUUUCUAAAAAGCACUAAGAAAAUGUUGACUCCUAUGUGGAACAAGAGAAGCAAGAUUCAACUGCAGAAUAGUGUCCAUAGAUCUUGCCCAUGGGGCCCUUUUCACACAUGUAAAGCCCAGAGGACAGAUUCAUCCAGAGACAUUUUAAUUUUUAAUCAAAAUCUUUCAGGCUGAAAUAUCAUUAUUGUAAUUGGAAAUGGUUCCAUUUAAGCUAUUGAACUGUUCUUGAACUGAACAGAAUAGCAUAAAAUGCUCUUGGUUCUUUUAUAAAAUAGUAGGAAAACUACUUCACUUAUAAAUCAAAAUGCUGGGGUGUUUGUUAGCUGCCAUCUUAUUUGCUGGAGCACUUUUAUGUCCUAAGGUUGCACUGUUAUCAGCUCCUAACAUGAGCUCAGGCAAGGAAGCUUUCUUGAAUCAUGUCAGCCUUUAAGGGGUUCAGAAGCUGAAUUUUUCUCAAGAGGCUAAAAUUCACAUUCAACCUCUUACAAUUUCAAGA